rnacentral:rRNA from 1 species
UUUAUGGAGAGUUUGAUCCUGGCUCAGAGUGAACGCUGGCGGCGUGCCUAAUACAUGCAAGUCGAACGAUGAAGCUUCUAGCUUGCUAGAAUGCGGAUUAGUGGCGCACGGGUGAGUAACGCAUAGGUCAUGUGCCUCUUAGUUUGGGAUAGCCAUUGGAAACGAUGAUUAAUACCAGAUACUCCCUAUGGGGGAAAGAUUUAUCGCUAAGAGAUCAGCCUAUGUCCUAUCAGCUUGUUGGUAAGGUAAUGGCUUACCAAGGCUAUGACGGGUAUCCGGCCUGAGAGGGUGAACGGACACACUGGAACUGAGACACGGUCCAGACUCCUACGGGAGGCAGCAGUAGGGAAUAUUGCUCAAUGGGGGAAACCCUGAAGCAGCAACGCCGCGUGGAGGAUGAAGGUUUUAGGAUUGUAAACUCCUUUUGUUAGAGAAGAUAAUGACGGUAUCUAACGAAUAAGCACCGGCUAACUCCGUGCCAGCAGCCGCGGUAAUACGGAGGGUGCAAGCGUUACUCGGAAUCACUGGGCGUAAAGAGCGCGUAGGCGGGAUAGUCAGUCAGGUGUGAAAUCCUAUGGCUUAACCAUAGAACUGCAUUUGAAACUACUAUUCUAGAGUGUGGGAGAGGUAGGUGGAAUUCUUGGUGUAGGGGUAAAAUCCGUAGAGAUCAAGAGGAAUACUCAUUGCGAAGGCGACCUGCUGGAACAUUACUGACGCUGAUUGCGCGAAAGCGUGGGGAGCAAACAGGAUUAGAUACCCUGGUAGUCCACGCCCUAAACGAUGGAUGCUAGUUGUUGGAGGGCUUAGUCUCUCCAGUAAUGCAGCUAACGCAUUAAGCAUCCCGCCUGGGGAGUACGGUCGCAAGAUUAAAACUCAAAGGAAUAGACGGGGACCCGCACAAGCGGUGGAGCAUGUGGUUUAAUUCGAAGAUACACGAAGAACCUUACCUAGGCUUGACAUUGAGAGAAUCCGCUAGAAAUAGUGGAGUGUCUGGCUUGCUAGACCUUGAAAACAGGUGCUGCACGGCUGUCGUCAGCUCGUGUCGUGAGAUGUUGGGUUAAGUCCCGCAACGAGCGCAACCCCCUUUCUUAGUUGCUAACAGGUCAUGCUGAGAACUCUAAGGAUACUGCCUCCGUAAGGAGGAGGAAGGUGGGGACGACGUCAAGUCAUCAUGGCCCUUACGCCUAGGGCUACACACGUGCUACAAUGGGGUGCACAAAGAGAAGCAAUACUGCGAAGUGGAGCCAAUCUUCAAAACACCUCUCAGUUCGGAUUGUAGGCUGCAACUCGCCUGCAUGAAGCUGGAAUCGCUAGUAAUCGCAAAUCAGCCAUGUUGCGGUGAAUACGUUCCCGGGUCUUGUACUCACCGCCCGUCACACCAUGGGAGUUGUGUUUGCCUUAAGUCAGGAUGCUAAAUUAGCUACUGCCCACGGCACACACAGCGACUGGGGUGAAGUCGUAACAAGGUAACCGUAGGUGAACCUGCGGUUGGAUCACCUCCUUUCUAGA